rnacentral:lncRNA from 1 species
GACGUAAAGAGGGGUCAUGUCUGUACACCCACCUUUGUUCCUCGCUGGGUCUAAGCUCAAAGGUCUGAUCUGAGGUCUGAGGUCUCAUAAGAGAUAUACCAUGUACUAUAGCUCUUUAUUAUUAUGAUAACACUGCAUCUAAUUAUGCAGAUUGAGCUCAUCAAUAUGCAUGAGCCAUCCCGCCGCCAGGGAGGAGCCUGCAACAGACACAACAAUGAGGCGGCAAAAUUAGAGUGAAUGUAUGAAUAAAAUUCAGAGGCGACAGAGGAUUAUUUACAGCUGUCUGUCUGCUCACUGUACUGUACGGUAACCCACGGGACUCACUAUUCACAAAAACAAAUAAACAAACAAAGAGAAAGUGUUGCAUCUUAGUGGUUCCUAUAUGGCUUUUAUUUGACUUUAACAGCAAAAAUAGACAAAACAAAAAACUUUGAGCGGCUUUUCCUGUCAUCUGUCUUUGUCUGCAUGUGUGAGGUGGUGUAAAUGAAAGGUAUAAUACAUUUUAAACCAUAGCUUUAUAAAGCAUUAUGCUCAGUGCUUAUAACACUCAAUAAACAUCACUUAAGCUGGUAUGAAUGCUUAGUCGCUCAAAAGGGUUGUUAUGAAACUUAAAGCUUUUAUAAUGCUUUAAAAAUAUGCCUAUGAUGCAUUAGAAGAGAUGGGUUCAUAUGGAAUAAAGUGUUGAGUUAACUUUUCACAUUGAAGUUAAAACAUCAGCUAGCUUGUUUGUUACAAUUCGCCUAACACUGAAUAGAAAGUAAAAUUAACACUAGACAACAUGAAUGGGACUUCUUCAGGAAUAUUAAUGUUGAGAAUUUCUGUCCUUAGUUUAGUUUUCCUUCUUUUCAAAACUUUACAGCUGACAAACCUGUGAACAUAAACGAGGGAAUGGACAUUAUUUCUUGACUUUUAAGACCUGCUAGAUUUGGAGACUAAUAGAGUACAGCCAAAUGUCUACAUAUCUACAGAUACUGGAGAAUCCCAAAAUGAUUAUUUACCCUUGAUAUCAUGAAGGAAGCAGGUUUCAAUUGUUUUAAAGUUGUUGAGAAGAAGUAAAAAUGGUAAAAAGCAGAAUAGAAAACCACACAGAAAAACGCAAAUACAUUCAAAGUUGUGAACAACGAAUGUUUAAAAAUGGAACAAGUCAAAGUCAUAAUAAAUGAUGUUGAAAAUCUUACAUGUUCUGCAGAUCAGCAAUGAACUCAAUCUGUCAAUAUCUGAGUCUGAGCUAAAAUCACAGUUUUCUUCAUGUGUUUCUGCACAUUAAUACAUCCGUACAGUAUACAGGAAAAGGCCUCAGCUGAAACGAUGAUGAAGAUUUAAUAUGACACUCCCUGUCUGCACGCUGUGCCUCACAUAGAGUAAAGGUACAUCAAAACAGAGUGGAAAUUGGGCGGGCCAUCACAGUGCAUUUGGAUAUAGGUAGAGAAUUAGACUGAAGUGAAUCUAUGAAUAAAUAUGUGAGUCCUCAGAGGAUCAUUAACACCUGUGUGCCUGCUCAUUGCUACUACUGUAUGCUAAUGUGUUGUACAGUUAUGACCUGCUUCUAGCUUUUAAAUGCAGAAUAAUGAAACUCAGGUGUAUUGUGAUGACGCUCAGACGAGAUCAAAAAGUCUGGAAAAAGAUUCUCAGACAGAAAAUGAUGGCCAAAGAUCACAAUCGCAUGAAACAUUGAUGAGGUGAAUCUAUGAAUAAAUACAUCCAUAUCUGAAGAUAUUCCACUCUUUCUUUACUGUACAGAAACGGUUCUGUGUGUUCAUCCAUCUCGUAUUCUCAUUUUGGAAAGAAUAAAAUAAUAAAAAACAGAUUUUGUGAGACAGGAUAUGAAUAAAAACAGAAAUAUAGCUCAGGGGCGUAUUUAAAUCAUCGUCAAAGCAAACAGAUUUGACAUGGGUUUUGACUUAAAGUCUAAAGUAUGUCUGUUUUAAAGCUGCAACAAAUAAACUGUGUCAGGUUAUAAUCACUCAAGUGGGAGCUGUAGUUUUGAGGUGUGGAUGUGAGAGCCAGAGAGAUCUUAUCCCAAAGUCCCAGACUGAUUAUGGGUUUUACUGUAAGACCUUCAAAGAAGCAUCAAGUCAAAACAGCAAUACAGCAAAACAUUUGAGGCCUAUUCUUCAGCCUCUGACUAUGAAACACUCUUGAAUUUCUAUCAAUGGGUGUCACUGUCUUCAAAUCAAAGUCAAGCUAGUAGCGGCAUGUGUGAUGUUCAUUCUCAUAAUUAUUUCUUGAGGAAAGUAAGCCGAGAAAGUACUCCGAGCUAUUCAAGUGAGAAGAAGUCAUCAAGUUAUUUGCUGUGUUUGUGUGUGUGUGGAUGUGCGUGUGUGCUUGUUUGUUCUAAUGAGCAUCUGUCAGCACCGGCCUCAUAACCAUGCUACCACCCCAGGGUUAUUUUCCUGCCCAUGUUUACAGCAGGAGCCCUGAGGGUGAACAGCGAGGUCAACAUCUGGGCUGAAAGAACAACUGUCACACCCUGCAACACUUUUACCGCUGCGGUUACCACAAUGAUGUAACCCCGGUACUUCCUGUAUCAGCGAUAUAACUUUGUGUAGAGAGUGUUUGUGAGUUCAAAUAUUCAUGAAAUUAUAAAUCAGGUCAUGAUUGAUCCAAACCAAAUAACUACAGUAAUUAAUUGUUAUUUGCAAAAGCUACACUAGAAUCAACCUGAUCACACAUUUCAUAUCAAAUCAAUCAGUGAAAAGCCGUCCCACACAUUUCCCCUCUGCCUGUUGACACUGUGGCUAAAACGCUCCUGAAGCAUAGUGAAUUGGUGACAAAAGGAUCAGUUUUCAACUCAGGUUAGGAAACUAAUUUUGUAAUUGUAGAGGUACAACAGUGUUCCACACAAUUAUAGAAAAAAAAGGUAGAAAGUUGAACAGAUGCUAAAAGCUGUGUAACACUUGUGUCAACUGUAUAUCUUAAACUUAAGUUACUGGACCAGUUCUAGGCUCCAACUGUGUUAAAAUACAAAAGCCAGCACUUGACUAAAGAAAUAAAACACAGAAAUAAGAUAAAACUACCAUAUUUUUCACAUUAUAAGGUGCACCUGUUUAUAAGGUGCACCGUCAAUGAACACGUCUAUUCGCGUCAAUUUUCAUACAUAAGGCGCACCGGAUUAUAACGUGCACUAAGCCAAACAAAACAGUCAAUAACUCCACAAGGCUAUAGUAGCUGCAGUGCUCUGACAAGCCAAAAGGAUUUUAAGCGCGCCUUACAGUGCGAAAAAUACGGUAUGUAUCGGAACAAAAUAUUUCAACUCAUACUCCUGCAGGUCAAAUAAAAAAAUGGUGUUGUUUUUUUUUUUUUUUUUUUUUUUUUUUUUAAGUAAGUUUAUUUUGCCUUUUAAUAGUCGGUUUAAGUUAUUUCAGACUAAAUCAGACAAUUCAGCUCAAUCCAGACUAAUCCAGACUGGGCUGAGAGUAUCUAUUUUAGGUUUAGGUUUAAGUUUGUAACUAUUUUUUGUUGAGUUAUUUUCCUGAGUAAACUCUUAAAAAGUUGAUCAUCAAAAAGUCACCACGAUCUCUCUUGUCUUUCUUGCUCUGCCAUGUUAAAAGCAGAUAACAGCAGGUCUCUUGAAGGAGAAGAGUUAUUAUAUUGCCCACAGUCACAUUUUUAUCACACAGCUUUUUGAAUGACUUUUGAUGAAUUAAAUGCAGUUUUUUUAGCCUGAUUAAGGUAUCUAUUAAUUUUAAUAUCAACAGUUUUAACUUUCAAUGAAUUAAUAUAUCUUUUUAACAUUUUAAUCAGGUAUUUCUUUAUUUAUGUUGUACUUUUAGUUGGGUUGCACCUGGAAUAUGGUCCCCUACAUGUUAAUGAUGCAGACGUGUGCAUGUGCAGGUUUGAGUGUGUGGGUUUCCAGAAAAAGGUGUUUUGCCUUUUAUUUGAACACCUGUGUGACCAGCGUUAGCUACUAGCCCCAGAGAAAUGGAUGCUACAUGUUAUUUUAAGUGUGUAAUGUGUGUGUGUGUGUUUAGGGACUGUUUCACAUAUAGAGGAUUUGUGUGUUCAUGUGUGUAAAUUCGUUAGUUUGUGUUUCUAUUGGUCCAUUACAGUGAACAACACAGGAUGUAUGUCAGUUUGAAACAUCGCAUGGGACACAUGGUGUUAUCCUGAGGCCCCAAAGGUAUGUGUGUGUGUGUGAUUGUGUGUGAAUGUGUGCCUUUGUGUGUGUGUAUGUUGUGCACGGAGGCGUGACUGAGCCAGUAGCAGAGGAAGGUCACCUCACGUGCACGGCUCAGUGGAACAGCGCCUGGCGAGUGUGUGCACGAGAAGCCAAGCACCAGCAGUCUCCCAAGGACAACAAAGUGCUUAUCCAGGGGAAAAAAAGAAGGCUCUCUGAUCUCUCUCACACACACACACACACACACACACACACAUACACACACACACACACACGCACUUCUACAGUAUAAGGUGACAUAAAGAGAAAAACAAUCCUCUUAACUUAAGCAUUCAUGCAUCUUGUUUAAAUGUCUUUGUCUUUGUCCCAUAAUGUCUAUAUCAUUCUCUCUUUUACACUCAUACAUUUACAGUAAUGUAUCUUUGUACAUCUUAAAAUUUAGACAAGUAAUGUAUCUGUAACCCUGCUACAAUGUCAACAGCACAGGUAAAAUGAUUUUGAUGGAGGUUCAUUACAAACUAUUCGAGGGAUGAGUUGCACUGGCCCUUUUUCACAGAAGGCCUCUCUGGCACGUAAGAAAACACUGUAAAAAUACAUUCAUAAAUGUUCUGAAAUCCACUUAUCUGUUUCAUUCUCAGGGUUUAGGUAUUGUUCAAGCUGGCUCACAGUGACACAGUCAUAACUUACCGAGACACUUUGAUAGAAGAGAGACAUUACUUUAUGUUAUACACUAACAUUGUGUUAUCCUUAUGCUGUGAAAAAGGCUGUUGAACUUUCUUUGUAUUCUCUGCUUCAGCUCAUUCAGACUGUUACAUCACUUUAAAGAUAAAGAUUCAAAUCAUAUCAGAAACCUUUAAAAUCCCAAGCCUGCCAUCACACGUCAAUAUCUUAACAUGUCAAUAGUAGACAAGACUCAAUCCUUAUAAAUACAUAAUUGUUUAUUACUAGCUGGGAGACUUAUGUUGCCUGUUAUGUGCAGUUUCAUAUCUGCUUCCCUCAAAGAAUUAGAACCCCGACAACAUGAGCAAGACCUCGACAUAGAGCAACCGUGGAACCGAAAUGUUGCUACUCAAUUUCAAUUUUCAAUUUCAAUAAACAUCAUUGGCAUAACUGUUACUACAAUAUUGCCAAAGCAUUUGAACCAUAGACUGUAUAUAGAAUGAACGCCGUCUGCCUUGUGGGUAAAGCCACUCUGAGAACAGCACCCUCUGGUGACAGGCUGCAGUAUAGGUCUGUGGAGCCGUGGACAAACUUUAGAAAUUUAUUACACAAAAUAUGCAUUUUUCUCCCCCCUGCUUGUGAUGUUGACAUGUAGUUACUGAAAGACUGGUUUGUGCUCAAGUCCUAUUUUUUUGUUUUUGAAAGUUAUUAGGGGGUCCAUGUUUUCUAUGACUGACACUUGAUACAGCCUAUGGGCGUACGUAGAUUGCGUAGGUCACCCGGGGGAUACACUGGUUGAGCCGAGCGUCAUCUCGGCGACUCUUCCGCUGAAUGCGCACAAUGCUACUGCACAAGCGGUGAAGUGUGUACUAGCUACUGCGCAGUGUUGGUUUCAGGAAAUGUAGAAAAAUUGCGGAAAUACAGAGAGUUUUUUAGCUUCAAAUCUGUAUACUGGUAGUAUAUACAGUAUAUACAGUCUAUGAUUUCAACACUACAAUAACAACAAUAGCAACAACAAUGGAAAUAAUAACAAUAAUAAUUAGUCUCUUACUACUGCUUAUGGUUCAAGUUACUUUGUAGUGAUCAACAACUUAAAGACUUAAAGAUAAAAUUCAAAAGACUGUGCUCUGUCUCCUUCAUGCAAAACUCUAGGUCAUGAAAAUGUUUUAAGUUUUUGGAUGUUCAAAUGUGAAGCUGAUGGCUAUAUAACCGUUAUCACUGUCGUGAUGUAUGACAACUCCCCCACAUAUUGUAAUUGUACACACCAGAGUCAAAUUCCUUGUAUGUGCUCACAUACUUAACCACUAAAGUUGAGUCUGAUUUUGAUUCUAGUUCUGAAGAUUUGGUCUAGAGUUUUAUCAGUAUAGAAAAAAAAACAAUGGUUUACCUUGUUUUAUUGCCUCACAGUGACACUGCAUCUUCGUAUCAUUGUCACCUUGCACCAUUGUGUGAUAAAACUCUGUGUCAGUUUAUUCUCAGUCAUUAUUCCCAUCAUACAUAGGGGCCAGGCUCAUAGUCAAGGGCACAUUAAACACCUCCUCCUCUAUAUUUUUUCACUAAGUAUAGGUGUGCUAUGACAACUUUCUAUUUCUGUGUAGGAGCUUGUUUAGUACAGUAAGUGGAGCUGUCCAUCGCCUGCAACCCUCCUCACUCUGCCAUCGGUGGUUCAGCUGUUGUUUCUCAUUAUAAAAACCACCUUAUUGUGUUUCUUAUUAUCCCAAGCUGCUCCGAGCAACCAGUAUACUCUGUGUGCACACGUGUGUGUGUGUAUUUGUGUGUGUGUGUGUACAGUGGCUGCAAAAUGGAAUCUUUAUUUGCCUCCAACCCUCUCUCUCUCUCUCUCUCUCUCUCUCUCUCCACACUCAGGUGUUUGUCUGUUCUGUCCCCUCAUUAUAACAAACACUUUACCCCUACCCUCUGCCACCUCUGCC